rnacentral:rRNA from 1 species
UUAGCGGCGGACGGGUGAGUAACACGUGGAUAACCUACCUAUAAGACUGGGAUAACUUCGGGAAACCGGAGCUAAUACCGGAUAAUAUUUUGAACCGCAUGGUUCAAACGAAGUGAAAGACGGUCUUGCUGUCACUUAUAGAUGGAUCCGCGCUGCAUUAGCUAGUUUGGUAAGGUAACGGCUUACCAAGGCAACGAUGCAUAGCCGACCUGAGAGGGUGAUCGGCCACACUGGAACUGAGACACGGUCCAUGACUCCUACGGGAGGCAGCAGUAGGGAAUCUUCCGCAAUGGGCGAAAGCCUGACGGAGCAACGCCGCGUGAGUGAUGAAGGUCUUCGGAUCGUAAAACUCUGUUAUUAGGGAAGAACAUAUGUGUAAGUAACUGUGCACAUCUUGACGGUACCUAAUCAGAAAGCCACGGCUAACUACGUGACCAGCAGCCGCGGUAAUACGUAGGUGGCAAGCGUUAUCCGGAAUUAUUGGGCGUAAAGCGCGCGUAGGCGGUUUUUUAAGUCUGAUGUGAAAGCCCACGGCUCAACCGUGGAGGGUCAUUGGAAACUGGAAAACUUGAGUGCAGAAGAGGAAAGUGGAAUUCCAUGUGUACGGUGAAAUGCGCAGAGAUAUGGAGGAACACCAGUGGCGAAGGCGACUUUGCUGGUCUGUAACUGACGCUGAUGUGCGAAAUGCGUGGGGAUCAAACAGGAUUAGAUACCCUGGUAGUCCACGCCGUAUAACGAUGAGUGCUAAGUGUUAGGGGGUUUCCGCCCUCUUAGUGCU